AGUUCCAAAAAGCCAUUCUAUGGCGUUGGACAUCAUUCACUUCCAUUGCUGACUGUCGAGUAACUUCUGAGGUUUUUGCGGCUGACCAUUGUCAUCCAUAUUUUCAUGCGAUCUUUGUCCUUGGGGAAGCCAUACAUGCGGUAACCCUUCUCGGACCGAUUGGUGCAUCCAAAUGCUGCACAGCCAACCAUGUGUCCAGGACACAGAUGAAGAGGAUGUUAGUAUGCGUUGUCGAGAGGAACUGCCCUACAGUGACUGGCCAUAGUGCAUAGUGGAACUCCACAGGUGUGAGUCUGAUGUAUGCAAGAGAAAG